UACGUAGGUGGCAAGCGUUGUCCGGAUUUACUGGGCGUAAAGAGCGCGCAGGCGGUCGUUCAAGUCGCGUGUGAAAGCCCCCGGCUCAACUGGGGAGGGUCACGCGAUACUGAUCGACUCGAAGGCAGGAGAGGGUAGUGGAAUUCCCGGUGUAGUGGUGAAAUUCGUAGAUAUUCGGAAGAACACCAGUGGCGAAGGCGGCUCACUGGCCCGGUACUGACGCUGAGGUGCGAAAGCGUGGGGAGCAAACAGG
rnacentral:rRNA from 1 species